UGCUGAUCUGUGGGUUAGUGGCUCAAUCAUUGUGCACUGAUUCUCCACUGAUGCCUAGAUUGCCAUAAGUUUAUCUAUUGAUCUACAGAUCAAGUGAGUUUUUCUCAAAUCAAGUAGGGACUAAAUGGUCUAUUAAACAUGAGGUCAAGGAAAAAGGAUGAACAUUUCAAGGCUGCAGGAGGAACAUUAAACAUCUCUCUCACUGUGAAAAGAUUCUACCGAUCUACAAAUGAUCAACAUGUUUUAUCUAAAGUUCAUCUGCCAUUUCUUCAAAUGGAGCCAUAGUCAGAAUAAGGUUCAAAUGUAUCAGUUGUUUUUGUUGACAGAUAUCAAGUCAUUUCAGUUCUCAAUUAUUUUGUGCACUAAGUUACAAGAAAAAAGUCAAGCAAAAGAGGUCACUACACUAAGACUUUGUCUUCUCAUAAGAAAGGAUGGCUGCCUGGUCAUGUGAUAUAUGUGCUGGACUGUGUGUGGUCAUCUUGAUGCUCAUAUCUUGCCUGAUAUUUAUUCUGCUGGACAUUUGGUCAAGGAAGUAGAUUCCCUUCAGCUCUCAAGAAACAUUCAAAACAUGUCAAACAUUUGACAAGAAUAUCAAGCAAGUGCAGUGUACAUACCAACAUGAUGAAGAUGUAGACCAACAUGAUAAAGAUGUAGACCAGCAUGAUGAAGAUGUAGACCAGCAUGAUGAAGAUGUAGACCAGCAUGAUGAAGAUGUAGACCAGCAUGAUGAAGAUGUAGACCAGCAUGAUGAAGAUGUAGACCAACAUGAAGAUGUAGACCAACAUGAAGAUGUAGGCUGACAUGAUGAAGAUGUAGACUGACAUGAAGAUGAAAUGUAAACCAAAAUAUUGAUCAAGAGAUGUAUGGAAUAAAAAGUGAACAUCUUGAGAGGGAAAACAAUUCCUAGAGGCAAAGACACAGACACAUUAGAUACAUUAGAGAUUGUUUCCUUUUCUACCAUCAUUUAGAGCCUUUUUUGUGAGGGAACCUGCAUCUGAAAGAACUGAACAUUUCCCUAAUGCUACUUCAAAUUCAGAUCUCCUCCCAACCUCAGGCUGAGUACCCGUGGUCACCUACUUUAUGUUACAUUACCAUAGCACUACAGACAGUGGAAAACAAAUUAUAUGAAGGCGUGCAACCACCAUCAGAUAUUGUUGUCUUUACAGACUCCCAAUCCACUCUGCAAGCACUUAACAGCAGCACCUCAAACAGCCCAAGAGAGUUGACAACACUCAUUGUGAUAAUCCAUCAGAUGAUAUCAAAAUUAAAUAUCAAUAUCACAUUACAGUGGAUCCCUGGACAUAUUGGCAUCAUGGGAAAUGAAAAGGCAGAUAAGCUAUCAAAGGCAGGUUCAUCUAUGGAACAACCAGAUAGACCUGUUAACUACCUCACCCUAAGGUCAGUGGCUCAACCAAUGGGCAUCAGGAAACACAGGCAGAGCCAUGUACAAAGAAAUGACUACGCCUAACAAACUGGACAGUAUUAACUUACUCCACUAUUAAAUUACCACCUGAACAAAAUAAACUCCACACAACUCCUCCUUUGCAGACACUGUGCCCACCCCUUUGAAACCGUAAACCAUAUCCUCUUUGAAUGCCCCUCCCUAAUCCACCUUAGGCAGACCCUACUUCCACUACAGCCCAACAUAACCAACACCCUGUACGGCAGUGCUGAACAACUGGAGAAAACAGCACACUUUUUUUCCUUGGCACAGUCUGCAAAAGAGCUCACAGCUCAGCAGCAAUAAAGCUGGCUAGAAGAAGAAGAAAAAAAAGAGGUUACAUUACAAGAAGUGUUCGCAAAGUCAGAAAACCUAACAGAUGACAAUGAAUAGAACAAUCAUUUCUAAUAUAGGUACAAGUGAUGUACUUUGUAAUAACUAUUUGGGUGGAAUCACCAUAAUUGAUUUGUAUCUUGUUCUAUAUUUAGGUAAAUCUUGUCAUUCAGUCCAGUCAUUGUUCUUUUUCUUUUUAAUAUUCCUUUUUUUCCCCUCAAUUUUCUUGUUGUUUCAGUGAAAUGUUUUUAUCUUUUUUGUUUUGGAGCAGGGAGGGGCUGUGGUAUAUUAUCAUUAUUGGAGUCACAACACCAAAGCCUUGCUACAUUAUGCUUUUAAUUCAAUUUAUUAUCUCCCCUGCUUUUGUGUGGUAUCAUUAGUGUCACAUCCAUGCACAAUUUGUUCUAUGCUUUUUAUAGUGUAAAUAGUGACUUGACAUUAUUUACAUCAAUUAUAUGUUAUAUUAUAUUUAAACUAAAACUGUUAGCAUUUUCUAUGAUGUUAUCAAUAUGAAUGUGUUUGUGUGUUGCUAUGAAUGCAUUUUAAGUUUUAGUCUGAAAUCAUAAAUAAGAAAUUGUUUCAUAAACAAAGAUUAUAUUAAUAUUUAAUAUUGUCAGACUUCACCAUAGCACUGAGUUCAUCCCCAUAAUCUAUUUAAAACUUUCAAAUACUAAUUCACUUUGUCUUAUCUAAUGGUGAUCAUGGGGGUAUCUACUAUCCAUAGUCUCUGGUAUGAACACUCACUGUCCUGGUUAGGGCUAGGAUGUAAUCUCUAUUUCUGAUGGAACACAUGUAAAACCAAGAAAACAAACAGUAGACCUAGACUUUAUUAACAGGUCAUGCAAGCAUUUUUUUUAUAAUUGUGAACUGAGGCUCCCAGAGCUAUUUUUAUGUAUUUUUAUUUUUGCUACUUUUGUAGACUAGUGCUAAGAAUUUGUAUUUUUUUUUUCUAUAUGUAAAGCUACUUUAUAUAUAUAGUUAUAUAUUAUGGUACAUUAUUUUUCUAAUUGAAACAACUGUCAAAAUAAUUGGCAGUUUGUUUUUUUAAAGUUUGUUUUAAAAUGCUGGCCACUUCUAAUGUUUAUGUACUAGAUCUUUUCCUAAUUUUUUUGUUUUUUUAUCUGAGUGUUUUGUAACUGCUGCUUUGCUCAUUUGAAUUAAAGUAUCAUU